GUAAAAGGCUGCAGGAAAGUCUUGCAGGGAAGAGACCAGAGGAGGCCCGGGGGGAGGAAGGAGAGUUUGCGUUGCAACUCUCCAGCAGGGAAGAAGAAAAGCCCUGCAAGGAAGGAGGUGCCCGAGUUUGUGCCUGUAUUCUCACCAGGCGCUGAUGAGGCUGAAAUAGGGCUGGAUCCUCUACAGUUCAACGUGUCUUAGGAGGCCUUUUGUAGGUCCUUCCGUACAGACAAAAUUCUCUCUUGGGCAAAGAGGGCUGAAUGGCCCGCUGUAGUCAUUCCUCGGCUACAGGAACAGUCCUAUUAAUGAAAAGGCAUUUGGAGAGCCACAAGAUUCCUCGGACCCCUUUGGAGUUGCGGUACAAGACAGAGAAAGAAUGGAGACGCAACCCUUAGCAAGUGAGGGAAGUGGAGAAGGCCCUUCUGCUGUUCAGCCUGGGAGCUGUGGGGAGAUCUGGGCAAGAACUGGGCAGAAGAUCCUGGAGGACGAAACCAUCCGCCAGACAUUCAGCCCCAGAACCUCAGGAGCAUCCAAUACCAGGAGGCUGAGGGUCCCCGAGGGCUUUGCAGCCGACUCCACUACUUUUGUCGUCGAUGGUUGAGACCAGAAAAGCACACAAAGGCGCAGGUGCUGGACCUGGUUGUUCUGGAGCAAUUCCUGGCCCUUCUGCCCCUGCAGA